GACAGAGGGUGCAAACGUUGCUCGGAAUCACUGGGCGUAAAGGGCGUGUAGGCGGGAAGGAUAGUCAGAUGUGAAAGCCCUGGGCUCAACCCAGGAACUGCAUUUGAAACUCCCUUUCUUGAGUGUCGGAGAGGAAAGCGGAAUUCCUGGUGUAGAGGUGAAAUUCGUAGAUAUCAGGAGGAACACCGGUGGCGAAGGCGGCUUUCUGGACGACAACUGACGCUGAGACGCGAAAGCGUGGGGAGCAAACAGG
rnacentral:rRNA from 1 species